AGGUUAAGUGAAUAAGGGCGCACGGUGGAUGCCUUGGCACUAGGAGCCGAUGAAGGACGGGACUAACACCGAUAUGCUUUGGGGAGCUGUACGUAAGCUAUGAUCCAGAGAUUUCCGAAUGGGGGAACCCAGCAUCUUUAAUAGGAUGUUACGAUUGUGUGAAUACAUAGCACAUUCGAGGUAGACGCAGAGAACUGAAACAUCUAAGUACCUGCAGGAAGAGAAAGAAAAUUCGAUUCCCUGAGUAGCGGCGAGCGAAACGGGAAAAGCCCAAACCAACAAGCUUGCUUGUUGGGGUUGUAGGACUCCAAUAUGGUCGUUCUUUCAGAUAGUCGAAUGACUUGGAAAAGUCAGUCAAAGAGGGUAAAAACCCCGUAGACGAAAUGUGGAAGACACCUAGGAGGAUCCUGAGUACGGCGGAACACGAGAAAUUCCGUCGGAAUCCGGGAGGACCAUCUCCCAAGGCUAAAUACUCCCUAGUGACCGAUAGUGAACCAGUACCGUGAGGGAAAGGUGAAAAGCACCCCGGAAGGGGAGUGAAAUAGAACCUGAAACCGUGUGCCUACAACAAGUCAAAGCCCGUUAAUGGGUGAUGGCGUGCCUUUUGUAGAAUGAACCGGCGAGUUACGAUUGCAUGCGAGGUUAAGUUGAAGAGACGGAGCCGCAGCGAAAGCGAGUCUGAAUAGGGCGUUUGAGUAUGUAGUCGUAGACCCGAAACCAUGUGAUCUACCCAUGUCCAGGUUGAAGGUGCGGUAAAACGCACUGGAGGACCGAACCCACGUACGUUGAAAAGUGCGGGGAUGAGGUGUGGGUAGCGGAGAAAUUCCAAACGAACUUGGAGAUAGCUGGUUCUCUCCGAAAUAGCUUUAGGGCUAGCCUCGGAAUUGAGAAUGAUGGAGGUAGAGCACUGUUUGGACUAGGGGCCCAUCUCGGGUUACCGAAUUCAGAUAAACUCCGAAUGCCAUUCAUUCAUAUCCGGGAGUCAGACUGUGAGUGAUAAGAUCCAUAGUCGAAAGGGAAACAGCCCAGACCACCAGCUAAGGUCCCAAAAUAUAUGUUAAGU
rnacentral:rRNA from 1 species